ensembl:lncRNA
UGUUGAGGUCUUGUGAUAAGGUUAUGUGUAGAGGUGUUGUAGAGGUGUUGUAGUAAGGUUAUGUGUAGAGGUGUUGUGAUAAGGUUAUGUGUAGAGGUGUUGUAGAGGUGUUGUAGUAAGGUUAUGUGUAGAGGUGUUGUGAUAAGGUUAUGUGUAGAGGUGUUGUAGAGGUGUUGUAGUAAGGUUAUGUGUAGAGGUGUUGUGUAGAGGUGUUGUAGUAAGGUUUUGUGUAGAGGUGUUGUGUAGAGGUGUUGUGUAGAGGUGUUGUAGUAAGGUUAUGUGUUGAAGUGUUGUGAUAAGCUUGAGAGGUUGCUUGAGGAUAUUAAGUGUAGAUUGUAAUAUGUUGUAAUAAGGUUAUAUGACAAAUAAUUGUGUUUAUGUGUUGUUGUAGGUUAUGUGUUGAUGUUAUUAUUCUGAUACUGUUUAAGAACAGUGACAGAAGUAAAUGUGGUAACUAAAGAGGAAUGUAUCUUUUAAGUGUUGUUGGAAAAGUGUUUGCUGAAAUCAUUUUUCAGACACUCUAAAGCCUAGCUGAGAAGAUGUAUCCACAGUCACUUUUUGGGUACUGUAGUAGUCAAAGUACAAUUGAUGGUAUUUUCACACUUCGACGAUUGAUGGAGAAAUCAAGAGAGCAGCGCAUGAAUCUUUAUAUAGCAUUUCUAAAUAAAGACACAUUACUAAAGCAUGUGACACGGUCCAUUGUGACAACCUCUUCAUCGCCCUGAGCAAGCUAG